GCCGAAGUGGUGGAAUUGGCAGACGCGCUGGACUCAAAAUCCAGUGGGCUUAGGCCCGUGUGGGUUCGACUCCCACCUUCGGCA
rnacentral:tRNA from 1 species